CGCUGGCGGCGUGCCUAAUACAUGCAAGUAGAACGCUGAAGGAGGAGCUUGCUUCUCAGGAUGAGUUGCGAACGGGUGAGUAACGCGUAGGUAACCUGCCUGGUAGCGGGGGAUAACUAUUGGAAACGAUAGCUAAUACCGCAUAAGAGUAGAUGUUGCAUGACAUUUGCUUAAAAGGUGCAAUUGCAUCACUACCAGAUGGACCUGCGUUGUAUUAGCUGGUUGGUGAGGUAACGGCUCACCAAGGCAACAAUACAUAGCCGACCUGGGAGGGUGAUCGGCCACACUGGGACUGAGACACGGCCCAGACUCCUACGGGAGGCAGCAGUAGGGAAUCUUCGGCAAUGGACGGAAGUCUGACCGAGCAACGCCGCGUGAGUGAAGAAGGUUUUCGGAUCGUAAAGCUCUGUUGUAAGAGAAGAACGAGUGUGAGAGUGGAAAGUUCGCACUGUGACGGUAUCUUACCAGAAAGGGACGGCUAACUACGUGCCAGCAGCCGCGGUAAUACGUAGGUCCCGAGCGUUGUCCGGAUUUAUUGGGCGUAAGGCGAGCGCAGGCGGUUAGAUAAGUCUGAAGUUAAAGGCUGUGGCUUAACCAUAGUACGCUUUGGAAACUGUUUAACUUGAGUGCAAGAGGGGAGAGUGGAAUUCCAUGUGUAGCGGUGAAAUGCGUAGAUAUAUGGAGGAACACCGGUGGCGAAAGCGGCUCUCUGGCUUGUAACUGACGCUGAGGCUCGAAAGCGCGGGGAGCAAACAGGAUUAGAUACCCUGGUAGUCCACGCCGUAAACGAUGAGUGCUAGGUGUUAGACCCUUUCCGGGGUUUAGUGCCGUAGCUAACGCAUUAAGCACUCCGCCUGGGGAGUACGACCGCAAGGUUGAAACUCAAAGGAAUUGACGGGGGCCCGCACAAGCGGU
rnacentral:rRNA from 1 species